AUCUAUACAUUAAAGGUUCGAGACAGGACAUUCACACCAGAGAGCUAUUGUUGUUUUGGCUGUUGUCAUUUUUGUAUUUGACAAUCUAAGUGAAAAGAGGUUAGUGCCCCUAAGUAAAUAAUCACAUAUUACAGAUUUUAAAAA